UAACCUGCUAAAUAGCCCGUACUGCUCAUGCAGUUCGCCGGCUUCUUAGAGGGACUAUCGGCUCAAGCCGAUGGAAGUUUGAAGCAAUAACAGGUCUGUGAUGCCCUUAAAUGUCCUGGGCCGCACGCGCGUUACACUGACAGGACCAGCGAGUACCUCCUUGGCCGAAAGGGCCGGGUAAUCUUGUUAAACCCUGUCCUGCUGGGGAUAGAGCAUUGCAAUUAUUGCUCUUCAACGAAGAAUCCCUAAUAAGCGCAAGUCAUCAGCUUGCGUUGAUUACCUCCCUGCCCUUUGUACACACCGCCCGUCGCU
rnacentral:rRNA from 1 species